rnacentral:rRNA from 1 species
AACGUAGGAGACGAACGUUAUCCGGAGUUACUGGGCGUAAAGGGCGUGUAGGCGGUUUGUUAAGUCUGGCGUGAAAGCUCUCGGCUAAACCGGGAGAGGUCGUUGGAUACUGGCGAACUAGAGGAUGGUAGAGGCGUGUGGAAUUCCGGGUGUAGUGGUGAAAUGCGUAGAGAUCCGGAGGAACACCAGUGGCGAAGGCGACACGCUGGCUCGCAUCUGACGCUCAGACACGACAGCAUGGGGAGCGAACGGG